UGACGAGCGGCGGACGGGUGAGUAAUGCCUGGGAAUUUGCCCAUUUGUGGGGGAUAACAGUUGGAAACGACUGCUAAUACCGCAUACGCCCUACGGGGGAAAGCAGGGGACCUUCGGGCCUUGCGCUGAUGGAUAAGCCCAGGUGGGAUUAGCUAGUAGGUGAGGUAAAGGCUCACCUAGGCGACGAUCCCUAGCUGGUCUGAGAGGAUGAUCAGCCACACUGGGACUGAGACACGGCCCAGACUCCUACGGGAGGCAGCAGUGGGGAAUAUUGCACAAUGGGGGAAACCCUGAUGCAGCCAUGCCGCGUGUGUGAAGAAGGCCUUCGGGUUGUAAAGCACUUUCAGCGAGGAGGAAAGGGUGUAAGUUAAUACCUUACAUCUGUGACGUUACUCGCAGAAGAAGCACCGGCUAACUCCGUGCCAGCAGCCGCGGUAAUACGGAGGGUGCGAGCGUUAAUCGGAAUUACUGGGCGUAAAGCGUGCGCAGGCGGUUUGUUAAGCGAGAUGUGAAAGCCCCGGGCUCAACCUGGGAACCGCAUUUCGAACUGGCAAACUAGAGUCUUGUAGAGGGGGGUAGAAUUCCAGGUGUAGCGGUGAAAUGCGUAGAGAUCUGGAGGAAUACCGGUGGCGAAGGCGGCCCCCUGGACAAAGACUGACGCUCAGGCACGAAAGCGUGGGGAGCAAACAGGAUUAGAUA
rnacentral:rRNA from 1 species